rnacentral:tRNA from 1 species
AUUUAUAUAGUUUAACUUAAAACACUUCAUUUUCAAUGAAAAGAUGAAUUAAUUCUAUAAAUA